UGCCCCCUGAGAUGUGCGUGAUGAAGGAUAUACUUUUUGAGCCAACACUAAAAGAACGGGGGCCGUCCCUUGCGGUGGCGUGUAUGCCUUAGAGUACAAGGAAACCGAAAGCCGUAAUAUGGCACCCACGUGAACCAACUGGUUCAAAUGACGCCGACACACGGCAUCCAUCGGGGGGCAU
rnacentral:other from 1 species